CAGGAUGCUCUCGAUGGUGCAGCUGUAGAACGUUUUGAGGAUCUGAGGACCCAUGCCAAAUCAUUUUCAGUCUCCUGAGGGGGAAUAGGCAUUGUCGUGGCCUCUUCACAACUGUCUUGGUGUGUAUGGACCAUGAUAGUGUCGUGACAUGACUACCAUUAAUGUGUUGAUGGCUAUUUUAUCAAAUCAAUUAACUGUGUUGAAUUAAUACAUUAUUAAAUUAAUCAUGUAACAAUGAACUCAUUAGUAACAUGGGGCACCAUGGAAGAAGUUUGUUUUAUGAGUUACUGUUUCCCAAAUUAACUCAAGAAUAUACUAGAAUGUAUCAUUAUCAUACCAGUCAUCCAUUAAUCAGUAUUAUCUCAUAUCAGUCUCAUUCUAACAUUGCAAAAUUCUUGGAUAUCUGCAGGAACCCGAGUCUAAAUAAUGAUUCAAAGAUGCACAAAUUGGUUUAAUUAUUUAUUUACUAACUAAAUAAUCACACAGACAUACACAAACAGUAUAGGUUGAAUUGAUUUCUAACAUAAUGCAAUGAAAAGUCCCUAGUGGACUAACUCGAUAUGAUGGCUUGUUACACCGUGAAAGGGGUGGGGACAGAAAGAGUGGGAGAGACAGAGAGUUGGAAAAAUAUGCUCAUGGGAAUGUGAAUACAUUACACAUGAAUGGCUGCUCAAUCGAAAAUAAUUGCAAUGUAUAUAUUUAAGCUUGUAUGUUUUUGUCGUUGCUCUCUGUUGACAUCGCCCGGUCCGUCUAUGGGGAGUCGUUCGACAGUAGUCUCUGGUUUGUCCACCAGAGGUAACAAUGUCUUUUGUAGUUGUAGUAGGCUUUCUUUGUCUCUGAGUGUUCGUUAGACUGGAUCCUUCAGAUAUACACACGCGGUGGUCUUUGGGUCGAGUUUACUAGACUAACAGUACUUAAACAGCUGCAGACUGAAUGUUCCGAUGUAGUCUUUAUCUUCUUCACUCGCGUGGAGAGUUUCUAAACAUUUCGUAACGUUCAGCUCACGCUGUUGGUCACGCUGGUCUAUAUUUAAAUUGCAACCAUUUCAACGUUUUCAGCCCACGCUGCACGUAUAUUGGUCUUGUAAUUUUUAACCAUUUUAACAUGUAGCCACCGCUCCAUGCUUUCUGGUCUGUAUGUUAAUUCUUCAGCAAGUCCUUUUAAGCACUCGCCUUGGAGGGCGGUUCCAUCAUGUUGCCAUAAUGUUGCCACAAAAUCACAUUUAAUCUUUUCACAAAUAGUUUCAUAUUUAAUCAUAUAAAGUUGGUGAAGACGAAUGUUCUGAAUGGACUCUAAAAUUGGAGUGGAGGAUACGUGUGUGAAUGAUAAGGAAUCGCUUCUUGUUUGGAUGCUUUUGUUGAGUAAGGGUGCAUAUGUGGGAGACCCGUUUGAGGUGUCGAAAAUGGUGAAGUAUGCACUGGGUCAGAGUGACCUGGAAUUGUUUAAUUUGGAUUAAUUGUAUUUAUGAAGAACAGAGAUUGCAGUGAGCCUUAAAAUAAUCUGGACAGGGCCUCCUGAGUGGCGCAGCGGUCUAAAGCACUGCAUCGCAGUGCUAGAGGCGUCACUACAGACCCUGGUUCUGUGCCGCAGCCAGCUGCGACCGGGAGACCCAUGAGGCGGCGUGCAAUUUGCCCAGCGUCGUCCGGGUUAGGGGAGGGUUUGGCCGGCCGGCCGGGUUGUCCUUGUCCCACUGCUUUAGAGACUUCUGUGGCGGGCCGGACGCAUGCAGGCUGACUUCAGUCGCCAGUUGUACGGUGUUUCCUUCGACACAUUGGUGCGACUGGCUUCCGGGUUAAGCGAAGCAGUGUGUCAAGAAGCAGUGUGGCUCGGCAGGGCUAUGUUUCGGAGGACGCAUGGCUCUCGACCUUCGCCUUUCCCGAGUCCGUACAGGAGUUUCAGCGAUGGGACAAGACUGUCUCUGGAUAUCACGAAAUUGGGGAGAAAAAGGGGUAAAAAGUCAAAUAUAUAUAUAUAACAUCCGGACAAUAGAAGUUUUGUGUUUUAAACUUCGGAGUAGAGCACCCAUCAAAGGAGUCAUGUGACGAAGGAUGUUCAGGUUCAAUACCUGAAGAGAAUUCCUAGUGUGGUUGGUGCCCGCCGUCUGACCCGCUGGGUGAAUGGAGAAAAAGAAAAAGGUCUGUCGGCCCUGUUGUUUUUUUGGUAAAGAGCAAAUACGUAUGUGAAGCUUAGUUUUGUAAGAUACACUGUAAGAGCUUUCAUCCCCAAACCAUUGCAGUAUAAGAAUUGUAAAGGAUUUGGCAAUGUUUCAAGUGUGUGCAGAUGGACAGUUUAGUUUAGUUUAGUUUAUUUAUUUAUUUUUGGAGUUUGCUAGUUUUUUGCUAGUUUGUUCCAUUUUUAGGAAUCCUGUUUCCAUCCCGCACGGUAGUUGGUGGGAUGCACAUUAAAUUGUGCGAUCACCAUAUACCAUAGAAGAAGAAGAAAUGUUUUGAGAAGAAUAAACAUUGUGAAAUGUGAGUAUUAUGUUUAUUUAUUCAACAAAUUACAUUAAAAUGUUAAUCUUUCAUAUGAUGGUUAAAUUGAAUCAUUAGGACAUAACGCAGAGUCAGGUCUCUAGCCAAGCUAGCUACCAGGUGAUCUUGUCAUUUUUACACUAUGAACAAUUAAUUGUAUAUUCAGGAAUAUGUCAAUGAUAUAGGAAUGCACAGUUUUAAAAUCCUGAAUUGGUGAUCUUGCUAGGCAGCUAAUGACAAAUCAUAUUUUUCAAACUGUUUUCAUUCAGGGACGAAAGAGGACAAUAUAUUGGCAGGACAAAACACUCUUUCCCGACUGGUGUGAGGGUAAGAAAUUGGAACAUUAUCUGAUAAAAAUAAGCAAGAAAUGCUUUUAGCUGUGCUCUGCUUACUUGCUAGCUAGCCAAAUCAUUUGUUGUGCGUUGUUUGAUUUAUGUGCUGUUUUCCAGUCAAUGAUCAUGCAUGCCGUCUCUGUUUACUUCCUCUUGUCAGUUUCCUCCCUCUGUCUCGUGUUCCACCAUUGGGGUUAAAGGUAAUGUUACAAGUUAAAUAAAAGGCUAAUUGUAAUCAUAGUGUUAAGACUUUGAUCUGUACAAAUGAUCAAUUGACGCACAGGCUAUGUUAUGACCAUGGUUCAAAAUAAUCUAAAGAAUAAACGGUAAACCAGGUUAAGCUAUAUAGGCUACCUAAGCUAAGUCAUUGUUAUGAAGAAUAUGUUUUGAAGUAUGAAAUUAGGGGUUAACAAGUCAGGGUAACAAGCCCCAGCUGAGACAGGUCAGGUAGCCUGACAAGGGUUUGGCUGCUCUCUGCAAACACUGUCCCCAUUUCUAUAUGUACAUGAACACGACCCCACUCUCUGUCUCUGUUCCAGUGUAUCUAUAUUAACCCUGUCGUCUCUAUGUCAUGGUUCCAGUCUAUCUGCAGGUGACCAGGUGGACCUCUUCACCAGGCAGGCCUUCGCUGCAGUCUUACAUCACCAGCAAAGGUCUAUGAAGAGGUACUUUAUAUUAAGAUCGUGCUUCCAACCUGCUGCCUGGAUACCUCAGCAUCCACGAGGGCAUCAUCAAGCAUUCUGGUCCAGUGAUUAAAUGGGUUGAUGGAGGGAAGCCAUUAUUAGGUGUCAACUCACCUGGUCUCUACUGAGUGUCUACACACAGAGUGAUGGUUCAUAUUGUAGCUCACGAGUAGGGACUGGAACAUCACCUCAGGUCCUAUGUGAAGUUUGUGUUCAAGCCAGAGCCAAACUCUGCCAGUGGGGUCAGAAUGUCCAUGAGGACCCUCAGAGUGUCCAUGAGGAGCUGGCUAAAGCCAUGACAGCCAACCUCAACCCCUCCACUUACUUCCUCACCAGCAACAAACUGCUACUCGUGGUACUUCGUAGAAGCCCUGGUGAAGUCUAUGGCCCAGCAUAGGACCCAGAGUGGUAAAUUCAACCUGUCUAGCAAACCAAGUUCCUCUGCAUCCUUCCACCACACAGUAGAGAAAAAUGCUAAUGCCUCACAUCAACAAGAACUACAAGAACAAACUGGACGCUGCCCGAAACGCCAACUACAGUCUGGCAGUCUUGGUGUGCCAUAGACAGCCAACAAAAAAUGUGUUGAUUUCAUUCAGAAAAUUGCCACAUUUAGUUCUAUGGUAAUGCUAUUUUCUUGCUAUGAGGACUGAUGACUUAUUGUAUGCUACACGAAGCAAAAUAAAUACGUGCACCC